rnacentral:rRNA from 2 species
GUCUUAAUUGGGCGUUAAGUUGCAGGGUAUAGACCCGAAACCCGGUGAUCUAGCCAUGGGCAGGUUGAAGGUUGGGUAACACUAACUGGAGGACCGAACCGACUAAUGUUGAAAAAUUAGCGGAUGACCUGUGGCUGGGGGUGAAAGGCCAAUCAAACCGGGAGAUAGCUGGUUCUCCCCGAAAGCUAUUUAGGUAGCGCCUCGUGAAUUCAUCUCCGGGGGUAGAGCACUGUUUCGGCUAGGGGGCCAUCCCGGCUUACCAACCCGAUGCAAACUGCGAAUACCGGAGAAUGUUAUCACGGGAGACACACGGCGGGUGCUAACGUCCGUCGUGAAGAGGGAAACAACCCAGACCGCCAGCUAAGGUCCCAAAGUCAUGGUUAAGUGGGAAACGAUGUGGGAAGGCCCAGACAGCCAGGAUGUUGGCUUAGAAGCAGCCAUCAUUUAAAGAAAGCGUAAUAGCUCACUGGUCGAGUCGGCCUGCGCGGAAGAUGUAACGGGGCUAAACCAUGCACCGAAGCUGCGGCAGCGACGCUUAUGCGU